CAUCCCUAUGAUGAUCGCUGUGCGAAUAAAGUAGUGGACUGAUAUCAUUUGAUGAAGUCUUUUAUUCUGAGGGAUU